UACGGAGGGUGCAAGCGUUAAUCGGAAUUACUGGGCGUAAAGCGUGCGCAGGCGGCGCGUUAAGACAGGUGUGAAAGCCCCGAGCUUAACUUGGGAAUUGCGCUUGUGACUGGCGUGCUGGAGUGUGGCAGAGGGAGGUGGAAUUCCACGUGUAGCAGUGAAAUGCGUAGAGAUGUGGAGGAACACCGAUGGCGAAGGCAGCCUCCUGGGCCAGCACUGACGCUCAGGCGCGAAAGCGUGGGGAGCAAACAGG
rnacentral:rRNA from 1 species